UGUGUAGCCACAUUGUAAGGG
rnacentral:miRNA from 1 species